rnacentral:tmRNA from 1 species
GGGGACGUACAGGUUUCGACAGGAAUGCGGAAACAAAAUAAGCGAGCCGCAGUUUGCUCGGUCUGCGUAAAAAAGGGCACGUUAAAAAUAAACGCUAAAAAUAAUAACAACAAUUUCGCAUACGCUGCCUAGUAUCGCAGCACGCGCGUCGGCCCACAUUCACCUGCAGGUAUGGGACCCGGCGUCGAUCAUGCAGGAAAACCUUAUGUGAAAUCCCGGCAGCAUAAGGGAAUAACGGGAUAGCCGAAACCGCAACUUGCCUUUGAGGAGUGGAAGAAGCGAAAAAAUUCAACAAAGGAUGCGCUCGGAGAAAAUUUUGCGGAAGUGUUUUUGGACACGAGUUCAAUUCUCGUCGUCUCCACCA